rnacentral:lncRNA from 1 species
UGUUCUUCUCCCUCAUUCACUUGCUCCCAGUAAUUUUCAUUAAUUGUACCAUCCGCAGCUACUUUAUAUCCUACCCCCAUUCUGUACUUAUGUUUGUGAACAUUUCUUGCCAUAGCAAUAGUCUGCUCCACAAAAGGUUCCCAUGAUAAGGUACCGUCCAUAAUCACAUCUCGCCCUUUGUUUAGAGCCGCCACUAGUAGAGAUGAUGCAGCAUCAGUUGAAGAUUGAUGCACCUGCUCAGAUUUUGAAAUGUUUAGAUCAUACAUUGAUCAUAGUAACAUUGCAUGAAGGUGAUCUUGUUCAGAUAGCAGCUUACCAAUUCAGCAGUUUGAAGCAUGUCAUCAUGGUGACCCCUUGAGUUAAGGGCUUUAUAUAUAACAUCAUUCUCCUUAAAAGCAUCUGCCUCAACAACCACUGCCUUUGAAGCUGCUCCCAACCAAAAUGAUCUGCCAAAGCCAUAAUAUUUAUUUUUAGGCAUAAAAACAAAGUUCUUACAUCUGCAAAGUACAAAGUAGGCAUGUAUGGUUCUUUUAAUACUUAAAUAUGCAUGUAUAGUUUGAAUAAUCCUAUUUGCGAGACUCGUGCAUAUAGGAUGGAUCCUAUUUAUGACACAGGCUUGGAUUGUUUACUGUCUCUCCAGCCGCACCUCAGUAGUUGGAUUGAUCCAAAGUCAGACAUUAAAUCCAACAAUCAAAUUGAGGUGCGUCUAGAGAAACAACAAUUGACUAUUAAAAGUGAAAAGAUAGAUUUUGUAGAAUUAUUAAACGUGGGAGAGUAGAAUUAGGAUGGAUAAUUACUCUUUAAGAAUGUCUUUAAGAACAGUGCUCUUUCCAGCUCCCAUGCCACCACCCAUGAACAGUAGAACUGGAUUCCUCUCACUGAGGGGCAUGGGGACCAUGACUUCUUUGGUUUGAGAAACACCACCAUUUAUUACUUUCAUCUCUUCGACCAAAGUAGAGAACACUCUUGUCACCUUCAGAUUCUUGGUUACUCUCUCAAACCUUUGUUUCCUAUAAACAUAAACAUCACUUACUUAGUGUCAUUUCCCCCUAUAUUAAAAACAUGUUAGUUCCUUUGAAGUGUUUUAACUCUAUAAUGAUUUGAACUUAAAUUAUUUGAAUCAAUGAUGAAAAUAUUAAAUGAGCAAGUUACCUUGUAGCUGCCAAUAGAAUUUCUUUCAGCUUCGUUUUGUGCUGAGACUCAGUUUUCAGUAUCUAUUGGUCAACGAAAGAGAUACUCAAUAAUAUUUUUUGGCAAAAGACAUACUCAAUACUUAAUUGAAGAGAAAAAUAUGUAUCAGAACAUAACAUAACAAAUAAAAAAGAAUAAAUGGAGAAUGAACCUGACUAAUAACAAAUGGAGCUUGUUUCCAAUGAAAUGCAAAAUAACUGAGGAUGCAUUUCUCAAACUCAUUAACCAACUUGACAUAGAGAGAUUCAUAGUCCUUUUCAUUGCCAAGAUAUUCAAAGAUGCUUUGAUCACAUCCUUUGGAUUUUUGUAGAUAUUCUUGGGCAAGUUUGCAUAAUUCUGGCACCUCACUUGCAUCUUCAAAUCCUAUUUGCCUAGCUACCAACACACAAACACACAAAAAAAAUUAAAAUUCUGAAUUUGAUCAAAUAAAUAUUCAGCUGCAUUUCAUCUUUCUGAUUUUCUAGAAUAUGCAAUUUUAAUAUCUCAUUGUAGGGAGGGCCAGAAGCCUACCUACUAGAAUAUGGCAAAAAUCCUAAGAACAAAAACACUGACAAGGUCAUUCUUUAAUCUUUACUAAAGAUGGCAAUAGAUAUGCACAAAGAAUUAUUUGUUAUUACAUUCGUCACGAAAUAUAAGAUCAUGCUGAUUGAAUCACAAAGAAUUAAAAAUAGUUGCUUGUCAUAUUAAAUUCGAUGACAAUUGAUAUUGUUUACAAAUUUACUCUAAAGAAUCGAGAAUUAGUCAAUAUUUUUAUCAAAGUAUUACAUACUGCAAAAAAAAUAUGUAACUUAAUUAAGACUAUCUUGGUGAAUAGAGACCUUACAUUUUAAAUAUUUAUUUAGUCUCACCUAAUUUUUAUAGACUAAAGUUGAAUAAAACUUAUAUUAUAUAGGACACAGUCAAGCUUUGAAUAUUUGAUAGGAACUAAAAAUAUAUUUAAUAAAAAAUUCUUUAAAACAACUUUUUUUUAGGAAUUCAAAACAAUUUAUUAUUAGGUCGAGUCGCUUAUCUGACGUAAAUUUGAUUGGGAUUUGUUCGAUUUAAAGUUUUUUUUUUUUUUUUUUGAGGAAAAAAGUUAAUUAAUUUUUUUAACAAAUCUACCUAAACCUACCUAAUCCAAUUUGCAUUUAGUUAAUUUAAAUGAUGUGAAUUAUCUUUCUUUCAAUAGUUAUUUUUUAAAAAAAUAUAGUUAAAUUAAAUGUUUUCUUUCUUUCUUUCAUUCUUGUAUUUUUUUUUUUAAAUAUAACAUUUUAUGUGGGUGGAGUUUUGAAACUCAUAUGAACAAGGGUAGAUUUUAAAGCCUAAAAAACGUUAACAUAAAUAUUUAUAGAUUAUCCACUAAUAAAAUUCGGUGUUAAUGCGAGUUGAACUCACGCCCCAUAAUAUGAGAAUUUCCUUUUGAAGAUUUUAUUUUAUUUUUGCGAAACUUUUUAUGGUUCUGUUUUCUUAUUCAAUUUUUUCCUUACACUAUUUUUUUUCUUCUUCUCCUCUUUUGACUAAUACACCACUUGAGUUUUGAGACAAUCAUUUUGGUGAAGCACAUCUUAUCUUAUCUACUACUAGCAUUUAGCAUAACAACAUUGUUUGUGUUGUAAAAUAUUUGUGAUAGUCUUUGUCACAGUGAGAUUGAAAAAGAAAGGACAGUCACAGUAUACUAGCUUGCAAGAAUCCCCAAAAAAGUGAAACAUUACAUACCAACAUAGUGGGAGAACUUUUCUAUCUUUUCCAAACGACCAGAUUCUGUUCUAUCAACGUGAGGAAUGAUCUUAUCAUCUGUCACCACCGUGGACUCUUGCUUCCGGUAACGCGAGGCAGCAGCCGCGGCAAUCAAACCGGCAAAGGAGGCAGCUAGAACAUGUGUGAGCCGGAUGGCUUUACCAAUACCAUCUGAAAAACAUUAUGAACCAAAUUGAAUUGAACAUAUGCUUAGUAUUUUAUUUUUGUGAAUGAAAGAAGAAUAAAGAGAGAAAAAUUAAAUACCUUGCUCCAUCUUGUUGGAAAUUCACAGUCACAACUCACAAACACGACUACUAAAUGACUAGAGCCAAAGAAGAAGCUGUUGCCUUGAUUGCUACUUCUAGCACACAAAUCAAGUGGUAUGAAAUCAUGAAACAACUCAGCAUUUCUUUAUUAAAUACUCAUCCAUAUUUCAUCUACUUGAUAUAUUAAAUAAAGGGUUAAUUAAGUUUUUAGUCUCUAUAAAUAUUCACAGUUUUGUUUUUAGUCCUUACAAAAUAAAAUCACACUUUUUAGUCUCCGUGACAUUUUCCUUAAUAAUUUUAAGGACCAAAAAUGCUGAUGGAAAAUUUUUAUAGGGACUAAAAAUGCUGAUGGAACAUUUUUAUAAGGACUAAAUAUGUUGAUGAAAAUUUUUAUAAGGACUAAAAUGUGUGAUUUUAUUUUGUAGGGAGUAAAAACAAAACUGUGAAUAUUUAUAGAGACUAAAAACUUAAUAAACCUUUAAAUAAAUGGAGUGUUAAAGAGAGUACACCUUAUCGGCUAUUGAAAAACAUAAAGCUUAUUUACUUUUCGUGGUAUAAAUCACAUUUUGUUGUUUAUCAUUCCAAAUUUUAUGAUUGGUGUCAUAAUCCAUUUUUAUGUUUAGAUGCUGGUUAAUUGUUAUUAUUUCUAUUUGAGACUUAAUUAUUGACUAUCCUCUUUAACACACCUUGUGCUGGAGGAAUAUAUUGUCGGUUUUAAUAUAUCUUAUUUUGAUUUGUUAAAAAAAAGUGGAGUAAUUAAAAUCUUUGAGACAAUUUUUUUAAUGAAUUUUUUAAGACAAAUGUUAAUUUGUAUCCUAAAUGACACAUGUUAAGAAACUCGUUAUAGAAAUACAUAUAUAAAAAAUCGUACAUUAAACUUCUAAAAAGUAAAACUAUCAUUAUAAAAUUGCCCUUCUUAGAUUGUUUAACAUGACACAUUCUUUAAUCAAUACCCAUCAAAUAAAACUAGUACAUCGAUCCCCGUGAGCUUAGCUCAGUUGGUAGGGAUAUUGCAUAUUAUAUGCAGGAGUCGGGGUUGGAACCCCGGACACUCCACUUCUCCACAAUUAAAUUGUGUGAGCUCUAGCCAUUAGGCUACUCGACAAAAAAAAAAAAAAAACUAGUACAUCGACUGGAUUAAUUACGUGGACCGUGCCAACAGAAGAUUUGAUUGAACUCCAACUUAGAAUGACACAUUCACAUUUAAUAUUAUUUUAAAUAGGAUUAUCUUCUCCCGGAGAUAUUUAAGAUUUUUUUUAUUAAGUAUACCUUAUCCAACCUGUUUUCAACGUUUAAAAGUAUUUUCAUCGGCACGUUUGUGUCUGAAUCAUAGCGUACCUUAGGUGAUAGUUGAUAUCAUAUGACGGGGACACAGUGUUGGUAGGUAAAUGGUAAGGUUUUUGUUAACUAGUAUCCUUAAAGAAAUUUAUAAUUAUAAAAAUUGUCUUAAAAAUAUAAACUAUUAUUUUUUAUUAACUAAUUAUUACAUCAUUUUUUGAUAAAAUUUUAUCUCUUUUAACUGCUUAAUCAAUGCCCCAGAGAUACUUGGUUAACAUUGUCGAAAGAAUAAAUGCAUAUUAUUCAUCUGAAAACAAAUAGUAUUUUUUUAUUGAAGACAAAAUGGCCGUGGCAUGCACUUACAUAUCACAACUAAUAUGAAUCAUUUGUCAAUAUUUUGGUGGUGGUCGGAAUUUUAAAUCUCAAAUUUUGUAUCUAUUAUUAUCUUUACCAACUGAGCUAAGUUUACGAGUACAAUUAUUUAUCAAUGUAUAAUAACUAAUGUGAAUCAUGUAUUUUAUAGUUAUUUUUAAAAUGUAACUAUAAAAUUGGUUUACAUGUUUUAUUUUUAACAAAUGUGUCAGCAUAUUAAAUUGUUAUUAGAUAUCAAAGAGCAAAUGGCAAAAUAUUUCUACUUUAAAAUGAAAGUUGCAGAGAUUAUAACAUACCACACGUUACACGAUUAAUAUUUUGGGUUCUUUGUACACAACGUCAGCGAAAUACAAGUAGAUUUAAAUCAUCAAAUUUAAGCUAGGUAAGUGAAGAAAAAUCUUAGAUGUUUUUUGUGACUAACUACGAUUCAAAUUGAAAGGAAAAUUUUAUCGGACAAUUGUAAGAUCUGCAAUGUUGUAGAAACAAAGUAUUAUGCGGUGAACAACCAACACGAGAAUAAAUUAGUGUAGUGUGUUGGAACAAAAUGUGUUUAACAUUACCCUUUAAGGAUUUUGAUGAUAACAAGGUAUUAAAAAUUGUCAAUUGGAUAUGCUAAUAUUUGUUCAAGUGUGCAUGACCAUAGACAAAAAUUUGAAAUCAUUAUUAGGUUAUAGAAGAACAGAAGAGAGCAAAGGAAUCAACAAAAAUGAAGCUUAAGGCGUUUGAAGAGAAGUGCUCUUGAAGACAAAAGUGCUCCUGAAGUGAUGACAUUAUCAGAAGCAAGUUCAUCAGAAGCAUCUCAUCAGAAGCAAGAUCACCAGAAGCUAAAGUUCACCAGGAGAUGCAAGACUUAAAGCUUCAAAGGUUGUUCAAUGGAUUUAAUCUCGUCUAAGCAUUGCAGAAGACUGGAAGAGUGAAGCAACGACUAUUUUAAAAGGAUUUGAAGGCAUUGGAUGCUUGUUCUUUGAAGGGCGUUGACAAAGUACAAUUGUACGAAGUGUACAACCACUAUCUCCACUACUCAGUUUGUGUCUCUGCUACAAGACAAGAAUAACAGCUCUGCCUGCAACAAUGUUCCUACAUACUGGAAUUGGAUUUGAAAUUGAUCCUUCAUAGGAAAAUAAUCAUAUCAGGCAAAAGAUCAUUGGUGAUUGAUCAAAGCUUCAAACGACUCUAUUUUGAUGUGCUGACAAUUCACAACGUCUCUUUCACACCUCUAUAUAAAGGAGUGAAGACUUAGAGAAUGGAAAGACUCAGCAACAAUUUGAAAGCGCCUAAACUCUGUCGAAAUUGUUCUGCAUCAAAAGUUCACUUAUAAUUUCUUAUCAAAGUUCAUAUCUUAGAAAUUCUAGAGUCAUAAGAGCCUGUAUCUGAUUUGUAUUGUGAACACCACUGAUUGUAUAUCAAGUGUUCAACCUCAAACAUUUUUCUUUGUAAUUCUGUUUGAAUUUAGAAGUCUCUUGCAGCUGGACUUGAGCAUUAGAAGUCUCUUGAUUGUGUUCAGAAGCAUAGGAAGUCUCUUGCAGUUGUGCUUGAGCAUUUGAAGUCUCUUGCUAGUUUUAGCAGUGAGCAGUUGUAAUCAGAUAUUACAUUUUAGUGAACUCUCCUUGGAAGUACAAGAGGGACAGGACUGACUUCCGGUUUGUGGAAGGAACUUGUAUAAUUGCUUUGUGUCUUUCUUCUCUCUCUCUCUCUCUCUCUCUCUCUCUCUCUGUUUUAUCUGCUGCUACUUAGUUCUGGAAAUCACUUCAAAAGCAUAACUAUAUUUGCUUCUGAUCGGUGUUUUCAGCUUAGGAGAAAGCGAAGAAAAAGCUAACACAAUUCAACUCCCCUUCUUGUGUUUUUCUCACUUCAUAGCGCGGAGAUGAAAAUGUAGCGUUGGAUAUGUGGUGAGACAAGAUGAUAGAAUUAGAAAUGAAAAAUGAGAGAGAGAGAGAGAGAGAGAGAGAGAGAGAGAGAGAGAGAGAGAGAGAGAGAGAGAGAUGGUGUAGCACUUAUAGUGAAAAAAAAUGGUUGGAAAAUAGAGUUAGGUAAUUUGGGCAUGUGAAGAAAAGAUCUAUAAAUUUUGUGCAGUAAUGAGAGUAGAUCAGAUGGAGGAUAUCCAUAUCUCUAGAAAUAGAAGAAGACCUGAAAAACAUAUGAAUAAUUAGUAAGAAAGACAUGAUGAUUAAUGAGUUAAAUCAAAAUAUGGUUUAAGAUAAAACAUUAUAACGUAAUUUGAUUCAUAUUAUUGAUCCUACGUAUUGUGAUAAGACUUGUUUUUAUGCAAAUCAAAUCAUGGUUUUCAAAGUAUCUUGAAGAAGAUUCGUCGAUCAACUCAUUUACAUCCAAUACAUAUAGAUUCGUGGAGGCGAAUCGAACCUAAAAUUUAGUGUGAUACCCACUUUGGAGUUUUCUUCAUGCACAACUAAAUGGAGACCCUCAAUUUUGAGGUCUUAAACGGGUUCCACAUUGACACAUCACUUUUUUUUAUAAUUUUUUAAGGCUUAAAUAUGUAAAUCGUCCCUGUAAUUUGGCGUGUUUUUGGUUUUUGUCCUUGUAUCUUUUUUUGUUCUAAAACAACCCUGUAAGUUAAUAACUUUUUGAUUUUCGUCCCUCCCGUCAACUUCCGUUACAAAAACGCAAAUGUGGCAAACGGAGGAUGACGUGGCAAACUUAUUGAUGAGUCACACAGUGAGAGGGACCAAAACCAAAAAACGAAAUUUGUAGAGGGACCAAAGCCAAAAAACAAAAUUCGUAAAGGGACCAAAACCAAAAAGCGAGAAAAAAUAGCUUUCUUCAUCUUCUUCCUUCCACCUCUUUUACAUCUUCAUCAUUGUCUUCAUAAAUUCAUCAAAAAACCCAGGAAAAAAUACUCAGAAAAGAGAUAAAAAAAACUCAAAAUCAUCAUCUCACUCUCAAUAGACAACUUCUCACAAACCCAAACAAAAUCCCCAUUGACAAUGGUCAGAUUGACAUCUCAACACUAAAAUCCACAAUGUUCAUAGUCCCAACUAAACUUUUAUUGAUAAUAUCGAAAUCAAAUUAUAACAACAAAAUCCUCAUUGUGAAUGCUCGAAUUCCCAAUAUUGAAAAAAUUCACAAAACUCUCAAAUUGAAAAACCUAAAGAAUGAUUUUUUUUCAUUACCAACUCUCGUCUCAUCAUUGAUCUCGCAUCUCUGCUGUUUCUUGGUCACUCCAAAUGCUUUCUUCGUCAAUUCUUUGAACUUUAAUAUCAUCAUUUUUGUUUCGAACAUUUGGGUCGUGUUCUUUAUUUCCGGUUGAUUUGGAAGAUUGUUGUGUUAAAUUGGAUUAUAAGAGAAAGGUUUAAGUUUGAUAUGAAUAUUCUUUUCAUUUGAAGUUCUAGAGGGAUAAUAAAUAUGUUGGAAUGUUGAAUUGAGAUAAGUUUUAUUUUAAAGUGUGUGAAAUUGGAUUGCACGUUGAACAGUGGGUAUAUUGGUUUAAUUUGAUUUUGUUGUUUGUGAGAAGAAAUAAAAGAGAAGUUAUAAUUGAAUGUGUUGGAUUGAGUUUGUUGUUGUUUUGAGUUGAUGGAUUUUUGGAUUUUGAAGUGAUGAAUUUCUGUGUUUGGUUGAUGAUGAUGAUGAAGUUUAUGAAGACAAUGAUAGUAAUGAAGAAGAAGAUGUGGGAAAAAGAUGAAGAAAUAUAAUUAAAUUUGAAUUUUUCGUCUUCUCGUUUUUUGGUUUUGGUCUUGGAAAUAGUCAAGUUCAUCUACAAAUUUCGUUUUUUGGUUUUGGUUUUGGUCCCUUUACGAAUUUUGUUUUUUUUGGCUUUGGUCCUUCUACAAAUUUCGUUUUUUGAUUUUGGUCCCUCUCACUGUGUGACUCAUCAAUAAGUUUUCCACGUCAGGCACUACCACGUCAUCGUCCGUUUGCCACAUGUGCAUUUUUGUAACGGAAGUUGACGGGAGGGACGAAAAUUAAAAAGUUAUUAACUUAUAGGGGUUGUUUUAAAACAAAAAAAGAUACAGGGACGAAAACCAAAAACACGCCAAAUUACAGGGACAAUUUACAUAUUUAAGCCAUUUUUUAAUAAUAGUACAUAAUAGGUACUCAAUCACUCCAAUAGAAACCCUGUAACAAAAGGUUUAAAUGAGACCCACCAAUAAUUUUUUAUCAUUUACAUUUCAACAAAAGUAACUCAACAAUGUUAUUUUAUUAAAAAGUGGUGUGGGGUCCACUUAAGAAUGGGGAUCAUAAGUGAGACCCCGGGUCUUAAGAGACCCCAAAAUUUUUUCCCACAAUGGGGGUACCUAUUUGGUAUCGGGUCUUAAAUGGUGAAGACCUCACCAUUGUGGAUGGUCUAACACCUCUAAUCGUCUUUGUUUUCGUUUUCUUUUAUUCUUGGUUUUUGGAGCAACCCACAACAAAUGUUCUGACAGGAGGCUGCAUAUGUAUUGAACUUUAAAAUUUGUAGUUUGCCUAUAUUGUAUCUGGGCCUCCCUGUUGGAGGUGAUUCUCGUAGACUGCAUUUUUGGAAUCCUGUGGUUAAUUGCACAAAAUCUCAUCUGUCCCGUUGGAAAAGCAAACAUCUUUCUUUUGGUGGUCGUCUUGUUCUUCUUAAGUCUGUCUUGAUCUCUCUCCCUGUCUAUGCUCUUUCCUUCUUCAAAGCUCCCUCAGGUAUCAUCUUCUCUAUUGAAUCUCUUUUAAUUUUUUUUUUUUGGGUGGGUGUGAGGAUAAUAGGAAAAUUUCCUAGACUGAUUGGGAGUCCAUAUGUUUUGCUAAGGAGGUUUGAGGUUAGGAGACUUAGGGAGUUUAAUUUGGCGUUGUUAGGGAAGUGGUGUUGGAGGAUGGUAGUGGAUAAAAAGGGGUUUUGGUUCAUAGUUCUGACUGCUAGAUAUGGUGGGGUUGGGGGGCGACUUCAGUCUUGUGGUAGUUAUGGGUCAGUGUGGUGGAAGGAUAUUGUCUGUAUCCGUGAUGGCAGUAGUUCGGUGUUGGGGAGUUGGUUUUCAGACAACUUACGUCUUAGAGUCGGUAAUGGUGUUAACACCUUGUUUUGGCUGGAUAGGUGGGUGAGUGAUGUCCCCGUUUGUGAGAAAUUUCGACGCUUAUAUAAUUUAUCUGAUAAUAAAUUAGCUACUAUGGCGCAAAUGUUUCAUUGGGGGUGGGAUGUGGGUGGGGAAGCAUGGAAGUGGCGAAGGAGGCUUUAGGUUUGGGAGGAGGAGUUGUUAGAGGAGUGUAUGCUUUUUUUAUUAACAGUUACGUUGCAGGUUGAUUCUGUUGAUGCUUGGAGGUGGACCCCUGACAUAGCCAACGGUUGCACGGCUAGUGGUGCUUACCGCUUGCUCACAGAUACGACGCAUAUCAAUAAUCAGAUUCCGGCUAAGCUGUUAUGGAGGAAGGAUGUGCCUUUGAAGGUUUCAUUGUUUGCUUGGCGUUUGUUUCGCAACCGAUUGCCUUCAAAAUUAAAUUUAUUCCGUAGAAGUAUCAUUCUUCCUGAGGCGCGGAACUGUGUUAGUGGUUACGGUUUUCAGGAAUCUGAAUGUCAUUUAUUUCUAUCUUGUGCUUUUUUCGGUCAUCUCUAGCAGCUGGUUAGAAAUUAGUUUUGUGUUCACUCAGCGGAUCCAUCCCAUAUUUUGGAUCAUUUCAUUCAGUUCGGUUCUUCUACAGGUUACGGUAAAUCUAAAUGCUCUUUUAUGCAUUUGAUUUGGUUUGCUACAACUGGGUAAUUUGGAAGGAAAUGAAUGCUAGAAUUUUCACAGGCACUCAGAGUUCCCAUAUACAACUUCUAGAGAAUGUCAAACAUCUUUCCUUCUGGUGGUUUAAGGCUAGUGUUGUAUCUUUUCAUUAUAGUUUUUACAACUGGUGCCAAAAUCCUUUGUUAUGUGCAGGAAUGUGGCUAAUUUUUUCAUUGUUGUUGUACUCUGACUGUAUUUUGUGAGCGCUUUCUGUGGUACACCUUGUACCUGGAAGUUGGCUCUCUGUUUCAAUAUGUCAUUUUGAUUUCUUAAAAAUAAAAUAAAAAUGUUCUGACAUUAAAUAUCACCUAGUUAUAAUGUUACAUCGACAACGACAAUACGUCUUUAUUAAAUUAUUUUUGUAAAAUAGCCAUUAAAAAAUGUGACAGGUAAUUAUAAUUUAAGAAAUUAAUCGAUUAAAACAUAGAUUAAGGAGUGAAUGGGAAAUGACUUUGUCGAUGUAAACUAGUUUUCUUUAAUAGGUUAAUUGUUCAUCUCUAAUAUAUGUGAAGUCUGAAAAAUAAUUUUGUAAUAAAAAAAUACGGAUUCUACGUAUGUAUGUAAUUUGAGAUUCUUCCUAUUUUUUACAUAAUUUUUUUUUUUUGGGUUAAAUAAGUUUUUCGUCCUUAUAAAAUAUCAAAUUUUGAUUUUAGUCCCUAAAAAAUAAAAUGAGAUGUUUUCAUCCUAAAAAAAAAAUUCUUUUAUUUUUGGUCCUUAAUGGAUAUAAUUUUGACAUGUUUGUGACAUUUUUUGAACAUAAUAUGAAUAUAUAAAGGUUGAACAUAAUAAACAUACAUAAUAUGGAUACAAUUUGAACAUAAAAAAGUUAUAAUUUUUACAUUCACAUGAACAUAAAGUGGUCAUUAAGGACCAAAAACAAUUUUUUUUUUUUUAGGAUGAAAACAUUCAGUUUAAUUUUUUAGGGACUAAAAUCAAAAUUAGCUAUAUUUAUAGGAACGAAAAACUUAUUUGACCCUAUUUUAUUUUAGAGAUGCAGUUCAGAAAAGUGAUCUGAACGUUAAAUUUUUUCAUGAUUUUUUGUAUGUAUAUUUAGGACGUUAAAAUAUGACUUUCCCUGCAAAAAUAGAAUUUUUCAACAAGGAACGAAUUAAUUAUGAAUUUUUAAAACUCCAAAAACUAAAAUAAAAUAAAAUAAUGGAAAUCACAAUCUAGAAAUUGAAUUUUGAGUUGUUUUUACACAGAUACCUCUAUAAAAUACAUAGAGAGGACCUGAAAAGUUUCAUAAUAUUUCAAUCCUGAAAUGUGUCAUAUCAUUUUGAUUACACCUCAAUUAUAUUGAAUUUUCAACCAAAUCGUACAAAAUUGUAAUUUUGUUCCAAGUAAACAUAUACUCGUAGGUCAAAUUGACGUCCUAAUUAACAUGCCUCCAAAGUUUAUUUAAGUAAAAUAAUAUUAUGCGUUCUCAUCAGAUAUCUAUUUAAAGUUAUUUUACAUCGACAAUGGAUCUUCAUUCAAUUAUAAAUUUAAUUACACUUAUUGAAAAUGAUAAAAAAAUCAUUAUAAAUGUAUUAAAGUCUUUUUGAAGGAAAAAAUAUAUAUUAAUGUUAAAUAUUGUAGAUUAAUGUAUUUUUAUAAUUGUCGAUGAAUGUUAGUUUGGUUGGUACACAUAUCCUCCAGGAAUAUAGGGUCAAUUCUCGUUGUCUAGAACUUCAUAAAUAGAUUAUUUGUAAGUAGAUUAAUUAACGUUAACUGAGUCUUAAUAUAUGAGUCCCUAAAUCCUAACUGAAGGUAAAUCGACAUUAACAGAAUAAGCAGCGGAAUAACAUUUCGAUUUACUUUCCUUGGAUCAUUACGAAUUGAAACUUGAACCAGUGAUUCGAUUGUUACCUUAGAACGAUUAGUCUGAAAACGAUCGAUGGAAUCUGCGAACUGGAAUCUCGAUCACAGCCAAGCAAACAACAGAGCCUCUAUUGAGUCCACACGAACAGUGCUCCUCCAAAACCUCGGUGCUAACCAAGAAGACGGAAGUCAGAGAACUAGGGUUUCUGCAAGGAAAACGUAACCGCAAACUAUUGCACUAGGGUUCUAUUUAUAGAACUCCUUAUGUGCUUUGCAAGUCAAACUCGUUUUUGACUUCACUAAGCCCAAUACGAGUUUAGCAAAUUUUGCUAAAUCAUUAGCAUUAUUUACUAAGCGCACCCUUUAUAUAAGUCUUACUUAUACAUAUCUCUUUUGACUGCUCUUUGUGUGUGACCCUUUAGGUUCUAGUCACGUUGGCAAUGAUAUUAAAUCUAAUAUUUAAUACUAUAAACAAUGAGCGGUAUCUAGCAACACAUCAUUGCUACCCAAGUGACAAGAAUGUCAAGUAAUCUGACGAAACCUUUCAUGAUAUACAUUAUUACUCUAUCAACAUUAAUCAGAUGUUAGCCUUUUUCUUUUGUAGCGGUUUCACUCACCUAUCAGUAUUCAGUGGAGCACAUUGAUCUAAUCUGUAGAUAGCAUUUUUCUCCAUCCAAUUUUCAAUGAGAACAACAAUUGUUAGGAGUUAAGCAUAUGUAAAGAGCUCAUCCCAAAAGAAUAGCCUCACAUUGAGCACUUUUACCUAUUCGAUGUGGGACUCCUAACUUUUAAUUGCUAUGAUUUAAACACAUGAGAAGAGUCCAACCAAAAAAACUAGUCAAUAAGGCAGAAGAGUCUCAUGACUUGGAGUAUCAUGUGAGACUCCUAACAUUAUCACGUCCUUGAAGAGUCGAUUAAAGAUUUUCAGUUAUCUGCACUAACCUGGUGAUAGCCGUUUUUUUAUGGUGACUUCCCUCACCUAUAUGUAUUCAAUGGAGCAUCUUAAUCAACAUAUCGGUAGCCAUUUUCCUUACACAACUCUCAAUGAUAGCACAAAUUGUUAGGACUUGAGCAUAUUUAUUAAAUUAAAAAGACUAAUCCAUCAAGUGGAAGAACUCCAUGGCUUAAGUACCACACUGAACAUUUUAUCUAUUCAAUAUGGGACUCCUAACAUGACCUCAUUGCAUUCGCAAAUAUCAAUUGGAUCAAAAUAUGAAGAUGGUAGAACAUUAGAUGAUAAACGAGCCAAUUUUAAACUAGUUCGAGACUAAAUUCAUGUUGGACUUGAUUUCACGAAUUAAAUAAAUUCGGGCAGAAAAUUAAUCUUGUUAGAAAAAUGAGUUGAAUUAUAUCUAUACAAUUUGAUUCUUUUGAUGUGUAUAUGUGUUUAUAUAUUUUGACAAAAAAAAAAGUGUGUAUAUAUAAUGGUUAAAGUGAAUUGUUCCAUGGUAUAUAUAUAAUGGUGGGAAGGUUUUAUACUCUCCCAUGUGAAAUGCCACCUACAUUUAUAUGUUACUUUUUCCUUACGACUUUCCUACACUACUUUUUCUUCCUUUUGACUAAUACACCAGUUGAUUUUUGAGACUAUCAUUUUGAAGAAGCACAUCUUAUCUACUAGCAUUUAGCAUAACAACGUUGUUUGUGUUGUAAACAUUUGUGAUAGUCUUUGUCACAGUGAGAUUGAAAAAGAAAGGACAGUAUACUAGAUUGCAAGAAUCCAAAAAAAGAAAGUGAAAUGAAACAUACCAACAUAAUGGGUGAACUUUUCUCUCUUUUCCAAACGACCAGAUUCUGUUCUAUCAACAUGAGGAAUGAUCUUCUCAUCUGUCACCACUGUGGACUCUUGCUUCCGGUAACGCGAGGCAGCAGCCGCGGCAAUCAAACCGUCAAAGGAGGCAGCUAGAACAUGUGUGAGGCGGAUUGCUUAGUAUUAGUGUGUUGUGAAUGAAAGAAGAAGAAUGAAGAGAAACAAAUAAAAUACCUUGCUCCAUCUUGUUGGAGAUUCACUCACGAAUCACGAUCACGAUCACGAUCACAAACACGAACGCAAAUUGACUGGAGCUAGAGAAGAAGCUGUAUUUGACUGCCUUAAUUUAAUACUCUUCCAUUUCAUCUACUAGUGAUACAUUAAAUAAAAAUUUGGUUUAGACUUUACAAUGGGACAAUGAAGAAUUCUGACAAAAAACAUACAUUCACAUUUAUUUAGUAUUAUUUUAAUGGUAAUGUUAACUUGUGUUUUGGGUUACAAGUGGACUAAAAAAGGAAAAGAAAAAAAAAAUUGUAAUAAAAAUAUUAAUAUUUAAAUAGUUACAACAUUAAAUUCACAAUAUAAUUUUCAAUAGUAUAUUUUAUCUUUUAACAUCUUAACUUAUAUUUUAAGGCACAGAUUAACAUUUUUCUUAUCUUUUCAAUAUAUAUUUAUUUUAAAUGGAGAAGAGUUACAUGUGUUUUAUUUGAUACAAAAGUAUCAUUGAAGUUUAAGGGAAAAUUUUAUCGAAUAGCUGCAAGACCAGAGUACUAGGUGAUGAAAAAUCAACACGAGAAUAAAAUGAGCGUAGUAGAGAUGAAGAUGUAUUGUGGAUGUCUUGUAAGACUAGAUUGUAAGACUAGAUGAGAUAGAAUUAGAAAUGAAAAUAGAAAAUUGCUUUUCUAACAUAAGGAAACUUCACAAAGACACAAGUAAAAUACUAAAAUGCUCCCAACGGCAGUUAACUGCCGUUGCUUUCUGUUAUUUGAACAGAACAGCAUAGGAGUUUCCAAAACUCCAUUGUUACGUUUUUUGCUUCCAUAGGUGCGAAUUUCACAAUGCAUAAGCCAUUCCAAGCCAAUUUCAAGCACAAAAUCAAGUAAGUUUUUUGAAUCCUAUUGCAUUGCUAUUUUUUGAUUGAUUUGUUAGUUUUUUUUUUUGUUAAAUUGCGAUUGUUUAUUGAUUAUAGAGGUUGAAUUGUUAGGUUUAUGUUAGAAUUGUUUAGAUUGUUAGAAUUGUAAAAUUGUUAUUAAAUUAUGGUAGAAUUUUUAGGAUUAGAUGAAUUGUUGUAUAAUCGUUGCGAUUAGUUUAGGAUUGAUAUGAAAUUUUGUUGUUAUGAAUUUGUGAUAGAAUUGUUACGAUUAGUUACGGUAUAAUUUUUAGGAUUAAAUAAGGUUUUGAUGAAUUAUUGUAGAAUUGUUACGACAUGAUGUAGAUUUUGAUCGUCAUUUAUUUGUUCAAUAGGAAGUAUUCAUUGUCAAAAAAGCAAUUUUCAUAAAAAUAUUAGAGAGAAAGUUGGUGUAGCAAUUAAGUAUAAAAGAUGGUGGAAAAUAAUCUUAGAUAUUUUGAGCAUGUAGAGAAAAUACAUAUAAAUUAUGUAGUAAGAAGUGGAUUAGACAAAUAAUAGUCAUAUCCUAAAGGUAUAUAAAGACCUAAAAAAAACUUUAUGGAAAAUAAUUAUAAAAGAAUUAAAGAUUAAUGAGUUGGACCAAAAAUAUGAUACAUGAUAAAAAAAUAAUGACGUAAUUUGAUUCAUGUAACUGAUAUCAUUUGACGAGGUAAGACUUGAUUUUAUUUGGAGAGAGAUAAAUAAUGUUACAUAGUCAAUACAUCUUUAUUAAAUUCUUUUUCUAAAAUAGCCAUUAGAAAAUUUGAAAGGUAAUUAUUUUUUUGAAGCAGAGCUAAAAAUCUCAAAAGUGAAAUCUUUAGGUUAAAAUAACAUUUUAUUAUUCAUACAGCAAAAUAAGCAAAUUUAACAAAUAGCCUUAUUCUAGUUGCAUUCAUGAUCUUACUGUGAUCAACAAUAAUGCAGGACUCAUGGCUACAUCCCAUAAGGGGUACAUAAACUGAAACUCAGAAGAAAAUGCAACAAUUGAACAUAACACAUAGCAACACUCCAAUGCUAAUGCUCACCAUUAAUAAGUCUUAUCCUCAUCAUGGCAACACUUGUAGGUAAUAAACACUUCCAUUCUGCGACGACAAUCUGGACACUCAACAAAAUCUGGGAUUUUUCCAGCAACUUUAUGAAUCUCAAGGUGAGAGCAAAGAUGAAAGGAAGGAGCAACCUUCUUAUGAUGUUCAUUAAAUGCAUGUUCAAAGCCCUUUUUAAUUGCCACUUCUUUCCAUUUGUCAAACUCGGACACUGUUUUCGACACUGUAGUACCAUGGCCAACAGCAAUCACAAUAGAACCUUUGGUUACAAUUGCCCACCCUGUCUCAUUCUUGUACGAAAGCAAUUUCUCAACCUGUUGUUUUACACUGUCUGUUGUAUCAUUAUUAUUCAUCUUGGUGAGAAACAAACUCUCCACCUUUGUCCAAAAUUUGUUAACCACAUUUGGCUUUUGAGACUCCAAGCUUAACAACUCAAUUGAAGUCUUUGCCUGCUUAAUAUUUGUAUCAUUUGCUAGGGCAGUAGCAAACUUGGUGAAUUCUUGGAUCCAUGCCUUAUCUUUACCUCCAUAAAUGAUAACAAACUUCUCCUCCUCCUUCAUUUUUCAAAGGAACAAAAGUUUUCUUAGUCAUGUUCAUUUUUCUCAAUUUAAAUAGCCUAAAUAAUUGACCCACAAAGUAAGUUUAAUAAUUAGAAUAAAGAUUCAAUUUAGUUUUUCACAAGAGAAGAUCCAUUUUUAUUUUUUGGGUGAACAAAUAUUGUUGUUACUCUUAAUAAUUAAAUGUCUCUAUAAAUAGUGAUUGAAAUCUUAAGAAAAUAUCAUAAUGACAAUUUGGAUCAUAUUACAAUAAUAUUAAAAGUUUUAAAAAAAAGAUUUGUGACCAGCAAAAUACUUACCCAUUUAAUCUGUAUAUCAAUGUCAACCAACAAGGAAACAACCCACUUUAAUUCCUGGGUUAUUGAUUUUUCUUUGUCUUCGGUGUAAGGAAAACCCUUUACCCCCCAAACUUGAAUCAUAUGGAAUGCAUUAUGAUGCAGAAUCUUUCCUUGUGGGCUCAACACAACAACCAAAGGCUUCUGAUUGAAAUGCAACUCCUCCUUUAUGUACUUGAUGCCUUUAAUUGGUGCAAAGUGAUGCAAAACAUACCAAGGCAUCUUUGACUUCAAAGAAUCAAAUUUUUUCCUCAACUUAUCAGUCCAUUCAUCCACAACGGGAAUCCACACAAUCUUGUACUGGCUUCCUGUUUCCUUUAAAUGGUCAUAAAUUGGAAUCAAAAUGGAGAUGUCUUCUUGGCUAAUGUUUAGGGUUGAAAUGAACAAGAACACUUCUUUCUUUUUCAACACUUCAAUAUCAACCUGUUAAUUUUAUUAAAAAAAAUAUAUAUAAAUUACAAAGUGAAACAAAUAUUUACUUUAAAAAACAUCCUCCAAAACUAAAUUAAAAUACGGAGACACAAGGUGCUCAGCUUCUCACUAAAAGAAAAUAUUUAUUUCUUUUGAAAGAAAAAGAAAAAUUUUUAUUCAUAAAAAAAAAUCUGUAUAUUGUCAUAAUAUAUUAAGCAAUUAAGACAUGAAAAUAUAUUUUAAAAAAAAUGAAAUAUUGACAAACUAGCUCAAUAUAUAACUGAUUAAAAAAUAUUUCUCCUUCCCCAAUUAUUAUUUUAAUUAAGAUAUGAAAAUACUAACCAGUGUUUUGGUGGAACCAUCAUAGAUGGAUUCUUUUGGAGCGUCUUUCCGAAAAAUCAGCACUUUAAACACUUCCAUGACUUCAGUCGGGGUUUGAAAGAGCUUUUUGAGUAACUUGAUAUACUCUGCUUCAUCUGGUAAUUCAAAUAAUUUCCUUAUACUAUCAAAUUUAUAUAUAUGUGUAUAAUUUCUUUCUAUAUAAGAAGAAAAUAUUUCCCCUAAAAAAAAAAAAAGUAGUAGCAAAGACAUUUGAUAUACAAAAGCGUAAGUUGGAGAUGAAAUUUUCCGCUUAUUAAUACUUAAUAUGUGUGAGUUUCGUCAUUAAACUCUAGAACUAGAAUAAAAAAAGAAAAAGAUAUAAAUAUUUAAUUGAUACACCCUCCGGUCAUAAUUAUAAAAAAAAAAAAAAAAAAUCAACAAUUUAGAUUCAUUCAUUAAAUGAUUUAUGUGGCCUAUAAUAAAGUUCAUAUGCAUCAUUAAUUAAAUAAAUCUAAAAUGUAGAUCUUUGUUUAUAACAGUGAGUGAAAGGUGUAUAUGGUAAACAAAAUCAUAUGAUUAAUUUAUUUUUUUAUUUUUUUUUUAAAUCUUCUUCUAUAUAGGACUCGAGAGAGUAUGUGGUAAAAUAAUUACCAAUAUAUAUAGUGCAUUGUGCCACAUGGUUCGUCAAUUUGUUGAUUAUGAUGCUAAUCUUAUGACCAAAUUGAGACAACUUCUGCCUUGAAUUCCUGACAAUAAAAAAUAUGAGUAAGUUCUUUAUAUUUUCUCCUCUAUAUACCAACAUAAAACAAAACAAUUAAGAUUAAAAAGAACAAAAACACAUACAAUCUAGGCUUAAAAACUUACGAAUCAGUAGUGAGACAUUCAAUCUGAGUAACAAUUGUAACAAUGGUGAUGAUAACCCAAAACACAUCAACCGGGAAUUCUUCCAAUGCUAGUGCAAGAGCUGGCACUUUCUUGAUGUCAUGAAGUGAGUUGAGUCUUUCCAACUCAAUGAUGAUUUCAAUCACUUUCCAUGUUGCCUUGAUCAAAUUGUUGAGCUCCAAAAUUUCAUUGCGAUGUUUUUUCAGUGCUUCAGUUUUGGUGAGUUGAGGCACUCUUUUCAUUAUGGCUAAUGAUUUGGCAAGUGGUUCUGUUGGUAGAUGUUGUGAUAGAUUCCAGAACUCACCAUAUUCAAUAGCAAAAGCAGAAAGAGUUAGCACUCCUUUUUCAACCCAUAAAUUGUUUGAGAGCUUUUUCAGGAUUGUUAGUGUUGUUUCGUAAGCAAUUUUCUCACCCGGAGCCUUGCAUGACAUCUGCGACCGACAUACAAUCUAUAUGAGUUUACUUCUAAUCUAGGGUUUUCACGAUGCGAUAUGAAUUGGUUCUUAGCAUCAGAAACUCGGGUUGAUAUAUAUAUAUAUAUAUAUAUAUAUAUAUAUAUAUAUAUAUAUAUAUAUAUAUAUAAAAGUACGUAGUUUAGCAUCAGAAAAUAAAAUAUUAAAAUAAAGACCUCAGAAUUAAUUUUCUUCAAAAUACACAACGGUGGAGUGAAGCUAGCAGGGGGAUGUGUGUUAUCCAAUGGCUCCAGACCUCCUUGAUUUCCCUGUAAUAGUUAAACAGGUUACCAUUAUUUAAUUAGAAGCGCAGUGCUAUGUAAAAAGAACCGAUAUAUAUACUAGUAAUUUUUCUUCUAAUAUAUAUAUAGACACACACUAGUAAUUUAGAAGUUGUUAAAAUCACAAAAAUAAAAAAUGCAUAAAUAAAAUAAAAAUUAAUGAAUGAUUAAUUAGGUGCAUACUUGCACAACGUUUUCAACAAUAUAGGUUGAACGCCUAAGAAUGUUUGCAGCAAUGUUGAAAAGAGAUUCAACAUCAAACUUGGUGUCACUAUGGACAUGGGUUGAAUAAAUCUCCCCCAUAAUUUGUAUAUCAGACAUGAUCAAAGGGUUAUUGUGAAUAAUAUUGCCACUGGUAAUGUGGAGAAAUGAUUUCAUUAGGUCGGCCAUACUAUUGAUUCAGGAAGAAAAAAAAAAGUGGAUUAUAGUUUAGAAGCUAAGAUUUUUUGUGAUUUGAGUGGUAGCUUCAGUGCCCUAUUUAUAGCCUUGAGAGCUGGAAUAUCUCCAAGCAAUUGGUUUUUAUUUUCAAAUUUUCUAUUAGGAUAAGCCUUGUGUACAAUUUCUUCACUUCUCCGAGUGGUCUUUUUUUUUAAAUUAAUUAAAGUGUUACUGUGCAGUGAGACUAAUAACUUAUAUGUACUGAGAUAAUUGAUAUGGUUAACGUCUCUCUUUUUCCAAAUCUUGGAGUUAAAAUUUGUGUCAGUUUGCUUCAAAUACGCUGUGCAUGGUCUGUAGAACUUUGAUAUUCUACAAAUACUUCUCAAUAUUUUUUUUGAAGAACUUCUCAAUUUUUUUUAGUUGGUUGCAACUUUUAUUUGAAUCGAUUAAAACAAAUGUAUUUUCUUUAAUCGGUUUUAUAUUGGUUAAUACAGUAAAAUUUUGUGUCGAUCGGUUUGCUUCAAAUACUUGACAUCGAAAUUAUCCAAAUAAAAACUAGUAUUAACCAAUUCCAAAGAUAUUGAAAAUUGUAUAAAAUCGUUUUUUUUGGGUAGUAAAAUAAUUUUUUUUUUGACAAAAAUAAAAUGAUAUUCAUUCAUUUAAAUCGAGAGAUUACAUCAUUCAACACCAAUAAAAACGUAAAUGAUGAAUCUGCUAACAAACUCACAGCAUCCAAGUUAACAGCAUAUAACAACAUAAUGCCUACAAAAAUAUAUGAUAAAAUUAAAGUGACCGGAAUAUCCAUCGCCUCCGAAUCUGCAACGUUGACGCCCAAAUCUUUGAUUGAAUUACUUAUCUUUCAAUAUGAAUCAAAUGAACACCGCACGACGACGGAAAAUCAAACAACACCGCACAAGACGACGAACAACAAACCACCACACUUAGAUGAUGAAAUCACAAAGAAAAAAACAUAGAUUUAUGUGAAAAUCACUUAUUUAUAUUGAAAUAGAAAGAAAAAAAAUGAAGAGGGGUGAUUUCAGGUCAAGAAUUGACCCAAAACCACCCCUCAAUGAAAAAACUAUAAGAAAAAAUCUAGAGAAAGAAAACUAGGGCCGACUUGUUGAAGAGUAAAAUAAUUUUUUUAAUAAGUCAAUAUGAAUCAUAUUACAUAAACGGAAAAGCCUUCCAACACAAGACCUGUAAAAGAAGACUUGAUGAAAGUUAUAAGGUUUACUCUUAAUGAUAUGAAAAUAGAUUUUUAUUGAACAUGUAUAUAAACUUUCUUUUAUGAAAUCACAAUGAUUUGGUUGAAUUUUGGAUUGUUUAUUAAAGCCAACCUGAACUCAACCACAUAUAUAAUUUUUAAUAUUUGUUUUAUUAUUACUAAUUAAGUGGUAAUAAAAUGACAUACCGAAAUAAAGUACAAGUACUCAACCCACCGAAAUAAUUUCUUACCAACUACAAAAAAACUUCCACCAGAAUCACCUUAACAUACAAUCUAAUGAUAAUAUAAACUACACAUAAAGAAAGGAGGCUUUGAAUUCCUCUCCAAAAACACUUUUGAUAGGGCAUAACUUCCUUACACCAUAGCUAAUUGCUCAAUCUUUUCCAUAUCAACCGAAAAGGAAGGGCAGAUACUAUCACAAAUAAUUUUCUCUUUCUCUACAUGACACAUGUCUCACAUUAGUAACAUACUUACUACUCCGUUCUUAUUUAAUUGUCAUAUUAUAAUAGUAAUAAGAUAUCAAAGAAGUAGAUUUUCGGUGUUUUUUUCCCUAUUAUACUUUCAUCAUUUUAAUUUACUAAUAAAUUUGAUUCCAUAUCUUUUUUUCCAUAACAAACGAUUGGUAUACCCUCUUUCCAAGAAUCUUUUUUUUUUCUUUUCACACUCUAUCACUCAAAUAACAAAUAAUUUUUUUUUAAAUAAUUGUAAAGCAAACUAAAACAAUUCAACUUCACAUUAGUCAAAGUAUAACUAUGUUCUUCAACUUUCCUACAACUCUUUUGAUAAAAAUUUAGGUUUCAACUAUAGCUUCAACCAAUACUGGAUUCAUAUUGUGUGACAUUGUUAUAGGUAACAAUGUUACAAUUGCAUUUUAUUUUUUUAACAAUGUUACAAUUUUAUUUAUAGAAUUUCUAUUCUUCAUGGAUCCAUUUCUAUAGGUAACAAAAGCUUGUUUAAAACAAACUUAAAUUUUCAAAAUACAUAGGACGGAUCCAUUAUUAUUGGUAACAAAAGCUUGUUUGAUUUUUAUUUUUUUUGAAUCAUUGAAAAAGAGUAUGAGUAAUUAAGAACGGGUAUAAUUGACGAAUUUUAUCUUAAAAGGUCAAAACGACAGUCAAAUAAAAAUGGAGGGAGUAAUUAUCAUAAAAAUGGACUUAAAACAGUGGCAUCAUGAUGUGAUUUGAGCAUAAAAAUUAUUAAGAAAAAUAGUAAUGUAAAAUGAAGGAAGCAUGUUUUUAAUUUGGUGAAUGAAAGUUUAGGUGAGUUGGACCUCAAAGACUCACUAGCAUCAUGACAGACGUCAAGGUUCAUUAAGUGUUAACAAUAGUACCUACAUAUCAUCCACUAAAAAGAUCCUUCCAAUAACAACGAAUGAUAAAUCGAUAAAUCCACGACUUUACGGACAAGUCAACUUCGUCAUCCUUUCAUUGACAAAAUAAAAGAAGUGUAUAAUGAUAAAACUUCAAAGAUAGAAUAUAUUUUUUCUCAAAAUUAAUUAAUAUUGACCAACUACUUAUUUCGAAUUCCCUUAAAUAUUACUUACAAUUUGGGAUCAUUGUAAAAAAAAAAAAAAAAACUUAUUGGGUUCACCAACCCUAACAUGUUCUUUACUUACAUAUGUUUUUUACGGGAAAAAAAUUAUGUAAGGAGUACGAAUAGGCAUAGCAACAAAAUCCGUAUCCGUGGGUACCCAUUCGAACUAAAUCCAUUUUGACGAAUUUUUUCCGUUUUGAUUGGGUUUGGGUAUGAGUUUGGGUUUUUCCCGAUUUCAAAACACGGGUAUGGGACGGGUAAUGGGGAUAUAGGAACCCAUACCCAAACUCGUUCCGAAUGUAGAAAAUCAAUUUAGUACCCAUUUUAUAUCAAUAGAAACUCAAACCCUAAAUCAUUUUAUUCAUAGAGUUAGAAUUUCAGUCAAAAUCUAAGAGUUCUCUCUCUUCUUCCAUAUCUCACAGUUUUGGUCUCUCUCUUCUCCAACACCAUAGCCAUCGAUCACCAUCAUCUUUUUAUUGAAUAAUGCAUUACAACAUCACACCUAGGGCUGAGAAGUACUUCUUCUUUUAUUAAAAAAAAUUUAUCCAUUGCGGGGAUACCCGAACCCAUCAGGACGAGGAUGAGAUUCAAUUUCUCAUCCCCGUUGAGUUUGGUUAGGGUAACAGGUAAGCAUAUUAGAAUAGAGCAUGGGAGGAAGGUGAAACCCGUCCCCACCCCGCCUCAUUGUCAUGCCUAAGUACGUAUAAUCGCAUCAAUUCUUUCAAGAAAAAAAUAAUCGCAUCACAUGCAUGCUAUCACCUCCAAUUAAAAAUAUCAUUGAUGGUCACACACCCCAACAAAUAAAAAAAACCAAUUCAGAUUACAUCGUACAAUGGAAAAAUCAAUUAACACCCAUUUCAAGUCAUACCCCAAAUUCCUUAAAAAAAGCGACACCCCAGAGAUGAAAAAUGGAUCAACACACGGUUUCAAUUUUAUCCUAAAAACCUCGAAAAAAACAAUUAGCCUAAAAACCUUGAAAAAAAACAAAAACCUACAAAAAAAAAAAAAAAAAGAAUAAAGAUGAAGCCCUUGAUGGUAAUCUUUUCUUCAUGGUUCUGCUAGCACUAUAUUAAUAUGUCACUCUAUAUUAGUUUCUUUUUGUAAUUUUCUUUUUUCAUAAAAGUAAAAUUACACAACUUAACAUGUAAUACUCUAUACAUUUUGUCAAAACAAAAAAAUGUAAUACUCAAUACAUAUUUUUUAAAUUUAAAUAACCGUUUAUAGUUUACAUCAUAUAAAUUAUCUUAUCCAUAUGCUUGUAUUAAAAAAUAUUUUUCUCUUUCUCUGUAUGACACAGGUCUCGCAUUAAUAACAUAAAACUAUCAUAAAAAAUAGGUUUAAAGAGUAGCAUUAUGAUGUGAUUUGAUUGUAUGUAUGUGUAAAAAAUGUUUUCAUUAUAAGUGUUAACUGCAUGAAAAUUAUUAAAAAAAAGUAAUAUAAAAUGAAAGAAGUAUAUUUUUUUUGUGAAUGAAAGUUUAUGUAGGUUGGGAUGUUGAAGCUCGCCAUGAUCAUGAUAAUCGUCAAGUUUCAACAAGCAUCAACUGAGAUAUUUACAUAUCAUAAUAUACAGAAAAUGAACCCAUGAUUUUACGAAUUAGUCGACUUCGCCAAACUUUUAUUCACAAAUCAAAAGAAGUAUGUAAUGAUACAACUUCAAAGAUAGAAUGUACUUCACGUCAAAAUUAAUUAACGUUUACCGAUUACACUUAUUUGGGAUCAUUGUCAAAAAAAUGAAAUAAAAACUUAUUGGGUUGACCAAACCUAACAUGUUUUUUACUUACAUUAAUAUCAUCGCAUCAAAGAUCCGAUAUCAUCGAAUCACAUGCAUCACAUGCAUAUACUAUCAUCGCAUUACUUGUUAGCAUUCUCAUAAUAUUAUUCCUGUUUACGUUAAUAUUUUAUGAUAAGGUUGUACAAUAUCCACCAGCAAAGAUCCGGUUUAUCGGAGAGACCAUAUAAUAUUUAGACCCGUUAGACUUGCUUAUAACAAUGACGUAUGGAAAAUGACGUAUAGGCAAUGAUGAUAUGCAUUAUAUGGAUUACUACUGUAUCUCGUCAUACAUAUAAGCAGAAGGGAAAAAAUAUCAUACAAAAAACCAAUAAUAUUAUUAAGUCCUAUAAUUUUGAUAUUUUAUCUAAACCAUCAUUAUAUUCCUAAAGACCUACAGAAAAGGCUUUUAUGCCCUCCCAGAGACCUCAACGUCCAGAUAGGAUGAUGUGCCCAAAGGCGCGUAUCUCCCCAUAAGCCACCUUUAUCCGCUUCUAGAAGCCUCUAGAAAGCGCUCGAAUACCUAAAAUAUCCCCAUUACUUUCUGCCUAAGUAACCACAAAUCAGGCCCAUAGUAAUACAACCUUGCGAGCUUUCUCAAGAGAUCCAAUAAUCAGUCUAAACCCUAGAAUACGAUACUGAACCCUAGUAUCCUCUAUUGUGCUUUUUGCAAGUACAGUUGGCGCCGUCUGUGGGAAAAGGUAAAACUAACCUAGAUCACCUUUCUGAAUCGCAAAUCGCAAUUUGGAAACCCUAAAACCAUAAAACUCUGAAUCGUAGCCGCUACAACUGCGACCCAGAAACCCUUUCACUUCCAACCCUAGAUCGCCUUGAUCUAUAAACCCGAUCACGCCAUCCUCAUGGAAACCGCUGAAGAACUCGAGACGUUACGAACCCAAGUCGCUCAACCCAUGGAGCAGAAUGAAGCCCUACAAGCUUCAAUGGAAACCAUUCAAUAGAAGCAGCAAGAAGAGAAAGACGAGUCCCACCAUGGCGAGAUGGAUGACCUAGAACCUCAACCCCUUUCGGAAGAGAUACGGGGAGCUCCCGUUCUAGAAAAUUUUAAGCUGACGCACCUCUCUUCCUUUGACGGGAAAAGUGAUCCCAUGGAGCAUGUCACAUAAUUCAACACUCAUAGGGCCGUCGUUGGAGCGCCUGAUUCAAUGGCCAAAUUUACUAACCAGAAGCUUGAGAAUAAAGACACAUCGCUUAGUCUUUCCUUGACAAAAAAUAUAUUUUGAUUCAAUGUCCAAAUUUCUUAACUAAUGUGAAUGACAUUUGAGAAUUGUUUUUUCAAUCGAUUAGUGUCCUCAUUUUGUAUCUUUCCUCAUUAUUCCUUGAAUUCUGCUCUUCAUCCAGCACAUUUUGCUCGCGCCCUACAUCUGUUCCAAAUUUACCCUUGCGUUAGUUAACUCACGCAAGUGUAAAUGUAUGCGCUAGUUAACUAACGUUGCGUCAAUUAACUUGCGCAAGUGUUAAAAACUGCGUUAGUUAACUCACGCAGACAUUAACACAUGCGUGAGUUAACUCACGCACAAUCUGUGCAUACAACCAGAAGAGGCAGAAACCUCUAUUUUCCCUAUUUUUCAAUCCUUCUUUCAUACAAUCAUUCAAGCAAACAUUUUUCAUCAUUCAUUCAAGCAUUCAUUCAAUCAAACAUUAAGUCAUAAGUAUAUUACGAAAAAUAACGGAAUAAAACAACGGAAUAAAAUAACGAAUAAUGUCAUAAAAACGCUAAAAAUCGUAAGUGUUAUAGGAUUACAACCAAAUCCAACAAAAUGUCAAACAAAAAAAACUACACAAGUCAUAUUGGUCCAUCCCGUGGACUCUUACUCCUCCUCCGCGGAGCCGGCACCUGCUCCAGCAUGCUCCGCUCAGACUGUAUGCCCUACAUCAAGCUCAUAACCUCCUUUGGAUUAUGAAACACAGUAGGAUGUCUCAUUGCACCGUCCACUCUAGCUCUGAUGUUGCUGAUGAUCUGGUAUGGGUCUAGAGGAUGUUUGGCCCACUGCUGCUCAACAAUAACCUCCUCACAAGGAGGGGCAGCAGCUGCAUAGUCAGCAAUGGCUGAGGACAUGUAGAGCAAACUUUGUGAAGGUCUGGGCCACGUCAUUCGCCGCAAUAAGCUCAAUGUCUGUAGGAGCCCUGGGAAUAGUCUGGUCAUACCCGUACUGCCUAAGAACCCGCUCUGGCAAGUGACGGACCAUCCUGUCGCUGUCGGCCAUGAUCCAUCCGGAGUACCAGCAUAUGUCCUGAAAUGGCGUGAUGUGUCGUCGUCUCUCGUACGGCCUCCAGGUGACAUGUGAAUGGUCCAACGAAUCGAUGGCAGCUCUGUAGUGUCCAAGAUUAGAAAAGCCCCUUGGAGGUUUCCAUUGACUCACAAGCGGGGAAACAACAAGGUCGUAGGCAUCAUGAUCAAUCCUCAGAAUGAUGUUCGAGAAUUGCGCCAAAGUCCAUCCCUGCAAACACAAAGAAACAAAUAUUUAUAUCACCGUAAGAAUUAUACAAACGACUAAACAUUUGCGAUCCAAUAAGUAAAAAAGAAGGAAAAACAAAUAUUACCACAAACAAUAUCAUGUAACCACCACAGGAGGCCAUAUAUGAGUCGGAGGUAAGAGAUAGAUGCUCAUAUAGGAAAGCAAGUCUCAUCCCACCCCAUGACCAGCUGUCCAACUUGUCCAUAUCUUGCAGAUACCUUUCAUAGGCAAUGUCAAGUUUUUAAAGCUCAGCUUCUUCCCGUGCGAGAUACCUUUCACCCUAUGUUUUUUUCGAAACUGAAAUACAAAAACAAAAAAACAACAAACAACACUGUUAAAUAAAUAAUAAGGAAAUCAAACAUUAAAUAUAUGCUAACAUAAAUUUUAAUUCUAACAUUAAAUAAGUAAAAUAAUAAUUAAAUUAUACUUACAUCGGCAUCGACCCAGACCCUGCAUGCCACAUGUCCACCAAAGUGAGGUAAAAGCGUCAGCUCAUAAGGCCCCCUGCAUAUCCGUUUGGUCCGGCCUCAUACACCACCCUCUGCACCCCUUGAAAAUGAGCCCCACCAUCAUGCUGCUGAGGCUCCUCAAUAUCAGGUUGCUCCUGCUCAAUACUAGGCUGCUCAUGAUGAUCCUCAUAAUGAUGCUGCUGAUACGCUUCAAACUGAUACAACUGAGGCUGAGGCUCCUGAAAAUGAUAGGCCUGAUCUUGCGCCUGCUCAUACACCUGAUAAUUCUGCUGAUGUUGUGUCGGGUUCACCGUCUGGGAUGGACCCGUCUUUGACCUUGACCCCCUGCAGCAUCAACUCUAGCAAGUCUCGUUCCCCCACCUCUCCCUCGACCAACCAUAGGAGGGCGUAAUGCUUGUUUCUCCCUCCGUGCACUACCAGUAGGGGCAGGCCUCCCUGCCCUAAGUCUGUCACUUCUAUCAUGAGGCGGCUCAGGCGGUCUCUGAGACGUAUUCCUCUGAGGCAUAUAUGCACAACAUUUAACAUAACACAAAUUCAAUGAUACAUUUUCACACGCACAUUGUGUCAUUUCCAACAAUUCAACAACAACACUAAAAUUCCAACAAUGUCAUUUCAAUCCGUAAACUACCACAUUGCAGUCAAACAUAUUAUAAUCAAAAUUAACAAACCAUAUGCUAACUAAUUUGAUAAUUCACAAUCCAAAAAAACAAAAUAAUUACCAUAGAGACUUUUUACCAAACACAUAGUGUGCAAUUUUCAAACAACUAGGUAAUCUAACAAUUUGUAAACCCUAAACUAGCACAUUGUACUUUAAACAACUUCUAAACAACAAUUCCUAAGUUAAUUCAUCACUUCUGUAAUAUUGAUUUAUAAAUAUUAGAUUUAUAAAUUAUAACUUUGACAUAAUUAUAUAUUUUUUUAGAGUAUAAUACACUCCACCCCCCUCAAAGAUAUGAGUAUUACACUCCCCUCCCCUCUUGUUGUAAAACACACACUCCCCUCCCUUAAUAGUUAAAAUAUUCACAUUUCCACCCAUUUUUAAACGAUUUGUUAACCUUUUAGUCAUUUAUAUUACACAAUAUUUUCUUUUACCAAAAUAAUCCUUAGCUUCUCCAAACAUGUCGCUUCACCUCUUUCAUUGCAAUCAAGGAUUAUUACCACUGUCGCCUAUGUCUUGUGGGGUGUCUGACUAGGUUCAGUUUGUGCGCUUUAUCUUAAUUAUUGGAUCUAUUUCAAAACAUGGACGUCUGACUUGCGAUUGGUCAAAAUUGGUUGAGAGGGGUUGUGUGGGUAAUUUUGGCUUUGUCGUUGUUACUUCUAUUUUUUUAAAUUCUAGAAUUGCUAUUAGAAAAAUUAGGAAAAUAUCCAAAUAUUACAUAUUGUUUGAAGAAAUUCUUAGCGAUGAAGUUUUUGUUUUAAUUGUCUGCAAAUUAACUUGGUAAUUGCUUGUUUCAGAAAUCAAUUGUUGUUCAUGAAUAUUGAGUGCGUUUGUUUCAGCUUUAAAAAAAAUAGAUUUUGUGUUCAAAAAAUCUAGAGAUUUUUUUUUUGAGAUUUUUAAAAAAAUCUGAAGUUAUUUGUGUUUGCCUACUAUCCAUAAAAAUCCAUUUUUUUUUAAAAAAAAAAAAAAAGUUCUAACAUGCACAUAUGUUAUCUCCUUGUUGUUGAAAAAAGUAGAUUUUGAGAAAAACUAAUCCUAAUAGCUUUUCAUUUUAGGGUCAAAAUAGAUUUUUUUUUGACAAAAUGAUUUUUCUAAAAGUCCUAAACAAACACUUACAAAUAAAAAAAGUGAUAUUUUUUUAGGGAAAAAAUAGAUUUUUUUUUGGAAAAAAUCUGAAACAAACGGGCCCAUUAUUGCAAUCAAAGGAAAUGCUCCAUAAAGAAUUGAUAGGGGUAUUUCGGUGAUAAAAAAUAAUAUUUAACGGAUGUUAAUUAAAAUUAACGGAAAAUGUACACAUGGAUCAAGUUGUAGUGCAUUUAAUUUAUUACGGGAUGGGAGUGUGUGUUUUGUAACAAAAGAGGAGGGGAGUGUAAUAUUGAUAUUUUGAGAGGAGAGGAGUAUAUUUUACUUUUUUUUUUUUUUGUUUGAACAUCAGGAGAAAAAGGUCUCACUUCAUAUAUUUUUUUUAUGUAUACUUCCUUUCAAAAAAUAUUACUAUAUUUGAGGGGCUAGCUCAUGUGAAGAGCUAGUUUUGUAAUCUCAAAUGCUAGGUUUGAAUUCUCUUAAAAAGGAUUGCAAACUAGUAUUUUUUUUAUUUUUUUUUAGGGAAUUGCAAACUAGUUAUUAAUGUCGUUUUAAUCAACUUCUUUUAAAAAAAUACUUUAAUUAAUAAAACGUUCACCCUUCCAUAAAUACUUGAUAAUGAUAAAAAUAAUAGUAAUUAUUAUUUUUAUUCGUGAAUAUCAAUUCUCAUAAAUUUAGCUUAUCGUGUUUGUGAUAAGAAUAAGAAUUUAAUUGAAUUUUUUAUAUUUACUUCAUUCAAAUCUAAUAAUUUGUUUCUUUUGAUCCUACUCACAACUGUUGUUGAACUGAUUAAUGGAUAAACUCCAUUUUAAUCUUAUCCAUUAGAGUAACUGCUGUUGCAAUUUUUGCUAAAACAGUUACAAAAUCUCUAUAUAAAUAGAGGACUCCACUCAGUUCAAAAAACACACCAAAGAGUUUCAUUGAAUUGUCGGGAACUCUUUCUCUCUUCUCCCUUUCUUGACUUGUGUUGACAAGUCUUUCUUUUCUUCAUCUCCUUUUUUCUGUUCCUUCGGAAUUAAAAGUGUUCUUAGGACCAUAGUUCCUUUUUUGGUUUAAUGUCCCUUCGGAACUAAGAACGGUCUUAAAAACAUAGUCCCUUCGAUAAUAUAUGUCCCUUCGGAAUAAAGAGUACUUUUAAGAUCAUAGUCCCUAUUUGAAAUAACAAUGUCCCGUCGAAAUUAAAAAUAAUCUUAAGGUUAUAUAAAAAUUAUUUCAAUAUAUUUCUAUUUGAGGAGAAAUGGUGGUAACACCAUAUUUGAGUGGUCUCAACACCAUAACAGAGUGGUAACAAUAUCAUAUUAAAGUGGUUUAAGUAUUAACGAGUGGUCUUAGUACCAUAUUUGAAGGUGUAAUUCUCGAACAGUUUUCUACAGUGCAGUAGUUAACCGCACAGUUGUAGAUGAAAUUGUUUUAUCCUGGAGGCGGCGUGGUUGAUAGUCUGUCUUGCACAAUUUUGGGCAGUGCCACGAAACGUCUUAAAGAGAACGACCUGGUCGUGAUUCAAGCUAGUAACAACUUUGAUAGAUAAUAGAAUUUGGAAAUCCAAAUACAACAGAUUGGAAAUCCAAAAACAACACUUUUCGUUCUCAUAUUUUACGAAUUUACAGUAGUCCAUUAAAAAGCAUUUCUUUCUUAUCUUUAGUAAAUCAUAGAAUUGAAAUAAACAAUUUUUUUGAUAACAUCACACCUCAUAACUCAUAAGAGAGUAACACUUUUUGAUUUUUUGAUAGACCUUUCUAUUUUAAGAAUGGAUUCCCUUAACUCUUUCUGAACACUUGACCUUGAAGGUGACAAAACAAAGUCAUUCCAAACAGAACCAGGUUCCAUUACUGGGCUAGGUUCCUUGUGAAGUUCAUAGAUGGAAUCAGCUUCAGUAUUCAAACUUGUUACAUUGUUCAAGCUUUUUAUGUCUUCAGGAUCCACUAAUAGAUUGUUAUCACCAUCCUUCCACCCAAUAAGCUGUUUUGUAUGAAAAAGAAAAUUACCCUCUUCACAUUUUACUACUAGUAAAGUGUAAAAUCAAUCACAAGAUAGAAAAAAAUGUUCAUGUACCUUUGGUGGGACCCCAACAUCAUUUGUGCAAUAGAGUCUGGCAUUAUCAACAAGUUUGCAAUAUCUUGGAAAUGCAUUAGCAAAUCUUUUGUGUGAUUUCAAUUGUGAAUUCACCCUCACUGCCCUCCUUGUCAUAAUAGCUCUCCUGUUAAAAUUCCAAUAGGAAAUGUUAACUAUAUCAUACACAAGAGAGGAAAUAGGUAUUUUAGUCUUUGAAAAUGUAAAGGUCGGUCAAUUUAGUCGCUCAAAUUUUUAAAAUAACAUUUUAGUCCUUGAAUUUAAAAAUAUCAACCGAUUUAGUCAUUUUCUAUAAUUUUGUAUCAGAAUUUUAAAGAUUCUAUGCUUGUUUUGAUGCAGGAAAAUACUACUUAAGUCAAUACUUACGUCUUCUAUUGUUCUUUACUAUAUAAAUAUUUUGAUGGAGGGAGUAGAUUGAUUGUUUUUCAAUUUAAGGGACUAAAAUGUUAUUUUGCAAAUAUGAGGGAUUAAAUGAUCAAGCCUUAUAAUUCCAAAUAGUAAAAUGCAUAUUUAAUCAAACCAAAAAACACACUACCAAAGUAUACUAUUAUAGUUGAAUCAUACCUAAUGCCUCUAAUAACUGCAUGAUAACCAUCACAAACGACACCAACUAGCUCAAUUCUAUAAGGCUUUUGAGUAUGAUGUUCUUCUGCCUCAUUCACUUGCUCCCAGUAAUUUUCAGUAAUUGUACCAUCCUCAUCUGGUCUAUACCCUACUCCCAUUCUGUAUUUAUAUUUGUGAACAUUUCUUGCCAUAGCAAUAGUCUGCUCGAAAAAAGGUUCCCAUGAUAAGGUACCGUCCAUGAUCACAUCUCGCCCUUUGUUUAGAGCCGUCACAAGUACAGAUGAUGCCGCAUCAGUGGAAGACUUAUGCACCUGUUCAGAUUUUGACAAGUUUAGAGCAUACUUUACAAUAGUAAUAUCACAUGAAGGUGUUCACACUGAAGCAU